UUGCCAGGGGAACCAACCUUGUGAUUAGAAGGUUGAAACUUUCAGCCCCACCCCUGACCUCCAGGGAGCCGGGAGAGGCUGAAGGCUGAGUUGAUCACCCGUGGCCAAUGAUUUAAUCAGUCAUGGCUAGCUGUCCAAACAACUAGUGGCCACCAGGGCACCCGCAGUCUCCUCCCUUGUGUCCCUGAAGCUCAUCAAGAGUUGCUCAACAGCCCGCAGAACCACGUGCCUGUCUCAUUGUCCUUAUCUUCCCAUUUCAAGGACAAAACUUCAGCUGCUGUCUUGGUCUGCUUUAUCCACACCUGACCUGUCACUUACAAUGUACAUUCUGAGGACCAACAUCUCCAAACAUUGUCCUGGGGCAGGAGCAUCCUCCUUACUAGAAAGCUCAGGGCCUCUGAAUCAGAAUCUGCAUCACAACAAGAUCCCCAGAAUACUGAAGUUUGAGAAGCUCUGGUCUACAUUAGAUGGUUUUCUAAUGGCUCCCUGUUGCCACUGAUAAUAAAGCUCUCUUGUCUUUACCAGA